UACGUAGGUGACAAGCGUUGUCCGGAUUUACUGGGCGUAAAGAGCGCGCAGGCGGUCGUUCAAGUCGAGUGUGAAAGCCCCCGGCUCAACUGGGGAGGGUCAUUCGAUACUGAUCGACUCGAAGGCAGGAGAGGGUAGUGGAAUUCCCGGUGUAGUGGUGAAAUGCGUAGAGAUGCGGAGGAACACCGGUGGCGAAGGCGGCCUGCUGGGCAGUUGCUGGACACUGAGGCGCGACAGCGUGGGGAGCAAACAGG
rnacentral:rRNA from 1 species